UACGUAGGUGGCAAGCGUUGUCCGGAUUUACUGGGCGUAAAGAGCGCGCAGGCGGUCGAAUAAGUCGAAUGUGAAAGCCCCCGGCUCAACUGGGGAGGGUCAUUCGAUACUGUUCGACUUGAAGGCAGGAGAGAGAAGCAGAAUUCCCGGUGUAGUGGUGAAAUGCGUAGAUAUCGGGAGGAACACCAGUGGCGAAGGCGGCUUCCUGGCCUGUUCUUGACGCUGAGGCGCGAAAGCUAGGGGAGCAAACGGG
rnacentral:rRNA from 1 species